UGCACAGUCAGCAGGAUCUUUCCCAGCCUUCAAAAUCACAGUUAUACAAGCCUCAGUGAAGAAGUCUGGCUUAUAGCCUUGGAAUUUCCUGGUAUUCUGUCAUGCAAAUGGUAUCUCGGUUUGACCCACCUUAGUCUUUUCAAGAUCAGCCAAGCUCUUCUUCUUUUUUUCUCAAGAGAGGAAGACUUCUGAGAAUUUUUACUGAAGGCCCAUAAAGAAAACAAUGCCAUAUUUCACAGAGUUAAAGUUAAGGAGAAAUGGCAGCAGCGUGCCUAGUUUCUGCAAGCAAAAUAUAAUAUCAAUGAGAUAAUUUCAAAAUAGAGUAUAUCCAAAAUGAACUCUGAAACAAUUUAUGUAUGAAGCAGAAAGAAUGGAUAAGAAUAAUCUUUUGGCAAAAUUGAAAUAAAAAGUGAAAA